GGAGCCGCCGCUCGUCCCUCACGGACGACGCGCGCCGCUGCUCCUGCCCGGGGCUGUCUGCCGGCUUCCAGCCCUUGCGGGUGUCGAGGUGGCUGGCGAAGGCACCCUUCCCGCUUCCUUCUGCUCAUUUCCCAGUUGGCUCCUGGCUUCUCUCAUGGCCGGUUCUGAGGCCGCCUAGGUCCGGCGUCUGUGACUGCGCCCUGCGGGCGCUGGGCUGCCGGCUGCCUUCGGGGCUGGGCCGGCCGCCGCGGUCUCCAUGGUAACGGCCCCGCCGGCGGCCGGGCCUCUGGGGGAAGAUGCGGCCUGCCCAGCCCGCCGCCUCGCCCCCGGCCUCUCGGUCCGGCGGGGGUCACUGAGGAGCGGGGGCCCGGCCGCCAGCCUGCCUGGCAGCGGGCACCAGUGAGAUCUCACUCUCUGGCUGGAGAGACAGAUGGCCUCAAAUGAGAGAGAUGCUAUAUCAUGGUAUCAGAAGAAGAUUGGAGCAUAUGAUCAGCAGAUAUGGGAAAAGUCAAUCGAACAGACUCAGAUUAAGGGUUUCAAAAACAAACCAAAAAAAAUGGGCCAUAUAAAACCAGACUUGAUUGAUGUUGACUUAAUCAGAGGCUCAACAUUUGCCAAAGCCAAGCCUGAGAUUCCAUGGACGUCGCUCACUCGGAAGGGCCUUGUUCGAGUGGUGUUUUUCCCAUUAUUCAGCAGUUGGUGGAUUCAGGUUACCUCUCUCAGAAUCUUUGUUUGGUUGCUGCUACUGUACCUCAUGCAAGUUACAGCGAUCGUUUUAUAUCUCAUGAUGCCUAUUGUGAGCGUGAGUGAAGUGCUUGGACCAUUGUGCCUUAUGCUACUCAUGGGAACUGUCCACUGUCAGAUCGUGUCAACUCAGAUAACAAGGCCCUCAGGAAACAAUGGAAAUCGGAGAAGAAGAAAAUUACGAAAAACUGUAAAUGGUGAUGGGACCCGAGAUAAUGGAAAUAACUCCCCUGAUAAAAUCAGAGCAGUAGAAACUCUGGACUCUGCACCCAGUGUUGGUGGUUUUUGGGGG
rnacentral:lncRNA from 1 species